rnacentral:rRNA from 1 species
AGAGUUUGAUCCUGGCUCAGAACAAACGCUGGCGGCGUGCCUAACACAUGCAAGUCGUACGUGAAAGUCCCGCAAGGGACAAGUAAAGUGGCGAACGGGUGAGUAAUACAUAGGUAAUCUACUUAUAAGUUCGGGAUAACAGUUCGAAAGGAUUGCUAAUACCGGAUAAUGUGCUUAGUCAAAAGAUUAAGUACCAAAGGUGGCCUCUUCACAAUGCUACCGAUUAUAAAUGAGCCUAUGGACCAUUAGUUAGUUGGCAGGGUAAUAGCCUACCAAGACAAAGAUGGUUAGCUGGUCUGAGAGGAUGACCAGCCACACUGGAACUGAAACACGGUCCAGACUCCUACGGGAGGCAGCAGUGGGGAAUAUUGCGCAAUGGGGGAAACCCUGACGCACAACGCCGUGUGAGCGAUGAAGGCCUUCGGGUUGUAAAGCUCUGUUAAAUAAGAAGAAACUCCCGUAUUCUAAUACAAUGCGGGAUUGACGGUAUUAUUAGAGAAAGCACCGGCUAACUCCGUGCCAGCCGCCGCGGU